AUACCAUCCGACUGCAACACUAGUUUGCCAAACCAGUUUCUGUUAAAAUACUCCAAUGACUCCACUCUAGUGAACCUGUCUACCAAAUUUGAUGACCCUACACUGUACCAGGGCAAUGUGGAUUGGUUAACGGAGUGGUGUAAUAAAAACACUCAUUAACACUGAAGACAGAGGAAAUCAUUUUUGGAAAACCCCCCGAAUUGUCAACUGCCCCCAUUGAAUUCACAAUUCAGUAAUCAGUCAAGUCCCAUUCUACAAACAUCUGGGUGUCACAACAGACACAAAUCUCUCAUGGACCUCUCAUAUAGAGUUUACCUG